AGGCGGCGCCAAUACUGCAAGUCGAGCGGACAGAUGGGAGCUUGCUCCCUGAUGUUAGCGAUGCCACGGUGAAUACGUUCCCGGGCCUUGUACACACCGCCCGUCACACCACGAGAGUUUGUAACACCCGAAGUCGGUGGGGUAACCCUUACGGGAGCCAGCCGCCGAAGGUGGGACAGAUGAUUGGGGUGAAGUCGUAACAAGGUAGCCGUAUCGGAAGGUGCGGCUGGAUCACCUCCUUUCUAAGGAUAAUAUCGGAAUACAGAUUUUUAUCUGUAUCUUAACGUUUUGCAGUUCAGUUUUGAAUGUUCAUUUAUUUAUAUGAGCAUUUGAAAACUUGUUCUUUGAAAACUGGAUAAAAAGACAUUGAAAGUAACAAAUUCAAGAAAUUCAAUUUGUGAUCACUUUGGUGAUUAUAGAUUGUGUAGUACUUAUUACUACUAACUUUUUUGUCGGGAUUCAAGCUGUACGCAGUAAUGUGUAUUCGAUUGAAAACCAAUUAGGUUAAGUUAAUAAGGGCGCACGGUGAAUGCCUUGGCACUAGGAGCCGAAGAAUUCUCAGUUCGGAUCGCAGUCUGCAACUCGACUGCGUGAAGCUGGAAUCGCUAGUAAUCGCGGAUCAGCAUGCCGCGGUGAAUACGUUCCCGGGCCUUGUACACACCGCCCGUCACACCACGAAGUCGGUGGGGUAACCCUUACGGGAGCCAGCCGCCGAAGGUGGGACAGAUGAUUGGGGUGAAGUCGUAACAAGGUAGCCGUAUCGGAAGGUGCGGCUGGAUCACCUCCUUUCUAAGGAUAAUAUCGGAAUACAGAUUUUUAUCUGUAUCUUAACGUUUUGCAGUUCAGUUUUGAAUGUUCAUUUAUUUAUAUGAGCAUUUGAAAACUUGUUCUUUGAAAACUGGAUAAAAAGACAUUGAAAGUAACAAAUUCAAAUAUAUAUAUUUUUUUUUUUUUUUAAAACGCGUCGUGCGUCGUGAGUUUGUAACACCCGAAGUCGGUGAGGUAACCUUUUAGGAGCCAGCCGCCGAAGGUUCGGUGGGGUAACCCUUACGGGAGCCAGCCGCCGAAGGUGGGACAGAUGAUUGGGGUGAAGUCGUAACAAGGUAGCCGUAUCGGAAGGUGCGGCUGGAUCACCUCCUUUCUAAGGAUAAUAUCGGAAUACAGAUUUUUAUCUGUAUCUUAACGUUUUGCAGUAAAAAAAAAAUUUUUUUUUGCGCGCGUGCGUGCGUGCGUGCGUGCGGUUUUUUUUUUGGGACAGAUGAUUGGGGGAAGUCGUAACAAAGAAGCCAAA
rnacentral:rRNA from 1 species